ACCUCGGAUCAGGUAGGAAUACCCGCUGAACUUAAGCAUAUCAAUAAGCGGAGGAAAAGAAACCAACAGGGAUUGCCCUAGUAACGGCGAGUGAAGCGGCAACAGCUCAAAUUUGAAAUCUGGCCUUCGGGUCCGAGUUGUAAUUUGUAGAGGAUGCUUUUGGUGAGGUACCUUCCGAGUUCCCUGGAACGGGACGCCAUAGAGGGUGAGAGCCCCGUCUGGUUGGAUACCGAUCCUCUGUAAAGCUCCUUCGACGAGUCGAGUAGUUUGGGAAUGCUGCUCUAAAUGGGAGGUAUAUGUCUUCUAAAGCUAAAUAUUGGCCAGAGACCGAUAGCGCACAAGUAGAGUGAUCGAAAGAUGAAAAGCACUUUUGAAAAGAGAGUUAAAAAGUACGUGAAAUUGUUGAAAGGGAAGCGCUCAUGACCAGACUUGGGCUUGGUUGAUCAUCCAGGGUUCUCCCUGGUGCACUCUUCCAGCCCAGGCCAGCAUCAGUUCGCUGUGGGGGAUAAAGGCUUCGGGAAUGUGGCUCCUCCGGGAGUGUUAUAGCCCGCUGCGUAAUACCCUGUGGUGGA
rnacentral:rRNA from 1 species